UUUGGAUUUUUGGGUGUAUCUAAACAAGGCCUUAAUGAAGACGGAGUUGUGAGUUGCCGAUCGAAUCGACGAUGGGUCUAUCAGGGCGGUUUCAGAUUGAGGACAAACAAAUAUAUUGAUGAGAGCCCGUGCGCUUGUCUUAUAACCGUAUUUUUUUUUUGUCAGGCAGCCAACAAUAUUUAGAUACAACUGAUGACUCGUCGUCUCAUCUCUCGGACUCGUGUUGCUCGAAAAUGCUGAAACAAAGUGAUUGAGUUGCCGGCUGAC